UCCCGUGUGGCUCAGUUGCUAGAGCAUGGUGUUUGCAACGCCAGGGUUGUGGGUUCGAUUCCCACAGGGGAC
rnacentral:tRNA from 1 species